UGACUGUGCGAAGGUAGCAUAAUCACUAGUCUUUUAAUUGGAGGCUUGUAUGAAUGGUUGAAUGAGAUAUAUACUGUCUUUUUUAAAAUUAUAUAGAAUUUUAUUUUUUAAUUAAAAAGUUAAAAUAAAAUUAAAGGACGAGAAGACCCUAUAGAUCUUUAUUUUUGUUAUUUAUAAAUUAAAAAGAAUUUUAAAAUUUAUAAUUUAAUAAAAAAUUUUAUUGGGGUGAUAUUAAAAUUUAAAAAACUUUUAAAAUUUAUUAACAUAAAUAUAUGAAUAAAUGAUCCAGUUUUAUUGAUUAAAAAUUUAAGUUACCUUAGGGAUAACAGCGUAA
rnacentral:rRNA from 1 species